rnacentral:rRNA from 1 species
GACGAACGCUGGCGGCGUGCUUAACACAUGCAAGUCGAACGGAAAGGCCCUGCUUUUGUGGGGUGCUCGAGUGGCGAACGGGUGAGUAACACGUGAGUAACCUGCCCUUGACUUUGGGAUAACUUCAGGAAACUGGGGCUAAUACCGGAUAGGAGCUCCUGCUGCAUGGUGGGGGUUGGAAAGUUUCGGCGGUUGGGGAUGGACUCGCGGCUUAUCAGCUUGUUGGUGGGGGAGUGGCUUACCAAGGCUUUGACGGGUAGCCGGCCUGAGAGGGUGAACGGCCACAUUGGGACUGAGAUAGGGACCAGACUCCUACGGGAGGCAGCAGGGGGGAAUAUUGCACAAUGGGCGGAAGCCUGAUGCAGCAACGCCGCGUGCGGGAUGACGGCCUUCGGGGUGUAAACCGCUUUCGCCUGUGACGAAGCGUGAGUGACGGUAAUGGGUAAAGAAGCACCGGCUAACUACGUG